UGACCACUUCAUGACUUCAGGAACACUUUAGUUGUAAAUGAUCCCAAAUAACAUGUCAAUAACCGACCACAUGAAUGUGACUGUAUCUAUCUACAGGGUGGAAACCUCAAACCUCCAGAGACUCAGCCUCUGCCUGAAAACCAGCAACAUGAGGUUGAUCCAGAUAAUGGUGUUUUCUACGCCUCCAUUAGCUACACCAAGACUCCUAACAGCAGCAGGCUUCAACAUGAUGACGAAGGUGAUACUGUGACGUACAGCACUGUGAAAGCUUCCUCCACAGAUCCCAGCGUCCUCUAUGCUUCAGUCAAAAAGCCAAACAAACCAGUCUGAGGUUCUCAAAUAUGUCAUCAGAGAAUGUGCUAAAAGUCAGAUAUGCUAUAGCAGGCAUUAACAACAUUUAUUUGUAAAAAAUGUCUCAAUAAUUAUUGAAUGAUUGUAUUAAAUUAACAAAAGAUGCCACAUAUGCCCUAUUUAGCUGCUGUAAAGUGUUCAAGCUUU